CUUAUACUUAUGUUUAAAAAAAAAAAUUAUUACACCCCUACUUUUAUCCUUUGUCCCACUUUGUAUUGUUCUGUGUCUUUUCCUAUACUGCACUAGUGUGAACAUGCUUUUAUAAUUUAUACUGAUAUAAUCAGAAAUUAUGGGCACAUAAAAUAUUGAAUUCGGUUUAUAUAUGUGCUCUGUGACUAUUUAUAUAUAUAUUUUUAGGCGAUUUUGAUAUAUAUUUCUCUUUUAUUAUCCACUUCAAUGUGCUGCAUGAACUUUUGGGCACCUUUGCCCUUCUUAAAAAUGGACAAACAGAACUUUGGAGUCAAAUUACUCCCACUAAAUGAUUAGGAGUUGAACCACCUCCCAUCGGAUGUUUGACGACAUCUACAUCACAGGAAGUGACGUAUCAGGAUUAUGCCGACCAGAAGAACUGGAGACCAAUGCUUGAUAUUAAGAAACCGUCACAGGAAG